UGGGGAAUAUUGGACAAUGGGGGCAACCCUGAUCCAGCAAUGCCGCGUGUGUGAAGAAGGUCUUCGGAUUGUAAAGCACUUUCGACGGGGACGAUGAUGACGGUACCCGUAGAAGAAGCCCCGGCUAACUUCGUGCCAGCAGCCGCGGUAAUACGAAGGGGGCUAGCGUUGCUCGGAAUGACUGGGCGUAAAGGGCGUGUAGGCGGUUUUACACAGUCAGAUGUGAAAUCCCCGGGCUUAACCUGGGAGCUGCAUUUGAUACGUGUAGACUAGAGUGUGAGAGAGGGUUGUGGAAUUCCCAGUGUAGAGGUGAAAUUCGUAGAUAUUGGGAAGAACACCGGUGGCGAAGGCGGCAACCUGGCUCAUGACUGACGCUGAGGCGCGAAAGCGUGGGGAGCAAACAGGAUUAGAUACCCUGGUAGUCCACGCUGUAAACGAUGUGUGCUAGAUGUUGGGUAACUUUGUUAUUCAGUGUCGCAGUUAACGCGUUAAAGCACACCGCCUGGGGGAGUACGGGC
rnacentral:rRNA from 1 species